CUUGGGCAAACGGGACUUCAAAGGUUUCUCAAGAAAAGUUCGCUUCGCACUUCCUCUGUUGAAAUAGGGCCCUGAAAUUGCAAAGUAGGGAGAAGACUCAAGAUAGCUGGUGCGGGGCUCUUCAACCAGUAACGGUGCGGCGGACGAUGUUGACCAACAAUGUUGGUUACAAUGAGCAGGCCGGGGAUGUUCUGCCGCAGGUGGGCCAAGAGGCGGCACCCACUACAGCCUCCACCGCUCCUUCAGCGGCCUUCAGUAGCGAUGGCAAGAAAAAUGAAGAU